AUUGAACGCUGGCGGCAUGCCUUACACAUGCAAGUCGAACGGCAGCAUGGAGAGCUUGCUCUCUGAUGGCGAGUGGCGAACGGGUGAGUAAUGCAUCGGAACGUACCGUGUAAUGGGGGAUAACGUAGCGAAAGUUACGCUAAUACCGCAUACGACCUGAGGGCGAAAGCAGGGGAUCGCAAGACCUUGCGUUAUACGAGCGGCCGAUGUCAGAUUAGCUAGUUGGUGAGGUAAAGGCUCACCAAGGCGACGAUCUGUAGCGGGUCUGAGAGGAUGAUCCGCCACACUGGGACUGAGACACGGCCCAGACUCCUACGGGAGGCAGCAGUGGGGAAUUUUGGACAAUGGGGGCAACCCUGAUCCAGCCAUGCCGCGUGAGUGAAGAAGGCCUUCGGGUUGUAAAGCCCUUUCGGCCGGGAAGAAAUCGCACAGGCUAAUACUCUGUGUGGAUGACGGUACCGGCAUAAGAAGCACCGGCUAACUACGUGCCAGCAGCCGCCGUAA
rnacentral:rRNA from 1 species